AUUGAACGCUGGCGGCAUGCCUUACACAUGCAAGUCGAACGGCAGCACGGGAGCAAUCCUGGUGGCGAGUGGCGAACGGGUGAGUAAUAUAUCGGAACGUGCCCAGUCGUGGGGAUAACGUAGCGAAAGCUACGCUAAUACCGCAUACGAUCUAUGGAUGAAAGCGGGGGAUCGCAAGACCUCGCGCGAUUGGAGCGGCCGAUAUCAGAUUAGGUAGUUGGUGAGGUAAAGGCUCACCAAGCCGACGAUCUGUAGCUGGUCUGAGAGGACGACCAGCCACACUGGGACUGAGACACGGCCCAGACUCCUACGGGAGGCAGCAGUGGGGAAUUUUGGACAAUGGGCGCAAGCCUGAUCCAGCAAUGCCGCGUGCAGGAUGAAGGCCUUCGGUUGGUUAAACUA
rnacentral:rRNA from 1 species